rnacentral:rRNA from 1 species
AAUGGGCGCAAGCCUGAUCCAGCCAUGCCGCGUGCAGGAUGACGGUCCUAUGGAUUGUAAACUGCUUUUGUACAGGAAGAAACACUCCCUCGUGAGGGAGCUUGACGGUACUGUAAGAAUAAGGAUCGGCUAACUCCGUGCCAGCAGCCGCGGUAAUACGGAGGAUCCAAGCGUUAUCCGGAAUCAUUGGGUUUAAAGGGUCCGUAGGCGGUUUAAUAAGUCAGUGGUGAAAGCCCAYCGCUCAACGGUGGAACGGCCAUUGAUACUGUUAGACUUGAAUUAUUAGGAAGUAACUAGAAUAUGUAGUGUAGCGGUGAAAUGCUUAGAUAUUACAUGGAAUACCAAUUGCGAAGGCAGGUUACUACUAAUGGAUUGACGCUGAUGGACGAAAGCGUGGGUAGCGAACAGGAUUAGAUACCCUGGUAGUCCACGCCGUAAACGAUGGAUACUAGCUGUUGGGAGCAAUCUCAGUGGCUAAGCGAAAGUGAUAAGUAUCCCACCUGGGGAGUACGUUCGCAAGAAUGAAACUCAAAUGAA